UACGGAGGGGGCUAGCGUUGUUCGGAAUUACUGGGCGUAAAGCGCGCGUAGGCGGCUUUGUAAGUUAGAGGUGAAAGCCCGGAGCUCAACUCCGGAACUGCCUUUAAGACUGCAUCGCUAGAACGUCGGAGAGGUAAGUGGAAUUCCGAGUGUAGAGGUGAAAUUCGUAGAUAUUCGGAAGAACACCAGUGGCGAAGGCGACUUACUGGACGACUGUUGACGCUGAGGUGCGAAAGCGUGGGGAGCAAACAGGG
rnacentral:rRNA from 1 species